UUCAUACUCAUUUGGGGAAGAUCAGAAGAAGGGAGCCAGGGGCUGAGUUGGUCUGAGAGGGUGCCCCCUGUGGAGGUCUGACAAGAGGAAGGUGACACAAGUGAGCUGAAGUGUCCAAGCAGCCAGGAUUACAGUGAUAAGAAGUAAUCCAGGCCCCUCUCAUUUAAAGAAAGUCCUUCCCUCUCUAUCUACUCAAAGGCCUGCUCACCAAUAAUCUCUGCUACAAACACUUGCAGGGUCAUUGUAACAGCCUAAAGGCCUCAAACAUUGACAGUUCCAGGAAUCAUGGAACAUUGUCCUCCAAAGAAUUCUGGGAAAUGUAGCCCCUCACAGAGCUAUGAUUCCCAGCACCUUUAGCCAUCUAUAGGGACCAGAGUCUUUUCAGGCAGAAUAUGUGCUUCACCUGCGAUUGCAACAUCCAGUGUGUUCGUAGGUGCAAAUUGAAGCCAAGUCAAAAGAAAGCAAAGCAGGAGGCUGGAAUGACCAAUAACGUCUUGGAACACAUAACCUUAGAGUCGGAUGGAGUCCCAGUGGCUAGGGGCAGUCUGGCAAAAACGUGGAGGUGGACUAUACUUAGCCAAAUUAGUGAUGCUGCACCAAAGUAUUUGCUCCAAGAGCAGAGAGAAACUGUAUAAAAGGGCUCAGCGCGUAGGGCUUUUCCACCAGUGCUUUUGAAGAUCUCCUCUUCGGCUGCUCAGCUUCUUCAGCUUUUGGGCUGCCAAUGCUGAAACUUUCCUCUGCAACACAUGACUCGGUCAUUCUUCCUCUGCUGCCUGUGUAUGUUCCCUGUGCUGAUGCCAAGCCUCCGUCUGUUUGAUGAGUCAGAAUCAGGGGACCCUCAAGGUCUGGGGAGAAGCUUCCAGCCUUCCACUUUUCCAAUACAACCACCUCCAUUUAUGGGUUCAUUGGUUUCCCCGCAUAUCCCCCCUUUGAAUGUGGAAUUUCCCCUUCCUUAGUUUGGAAUGUAUUUGUUUCUCUUCUCCUACCUGAACUGUUGAUCCCAGAGAAUGUUCUCUCCUUCCUUCCUAGCCAUUAAAGCUUCA